AACGAACGCUGGCGGCAGGCCUAACACAUGCAAGUCGAGCGCCCUUUCGGGGGAGCGGCGGACGGGUGAGUAACGCGUGGGAAUAUGCCCUUCUCUACGGAAUAGCCUCGGGAAACUGAGAGUAAUACCGUAUACGCCCUGUGGGGGAAAGAUUUAUCGGGGAAGGAUUAGCCCGCGUUGGAUUAGGUAGUUGGUAGGGUAAUGGCCUACCAAGCCGACGAUCCAUAGCUGGUUUGAGAGGAUGAUCAGCCACACUGGGACUGAGACACGGCCCAGACUCCUACGGGAGGCAGCAGUGAGGAAUCUUAGACAAUGGGGGCAACCCUGAUCUAGCCAUGCCGCGUGAGUGAUGAAGGCCUUAGGGUUGUAAAGCUCUUUCAGCUGGGAAGAUAAUGACGGUACCAGCAGAAGAAGCCCCGGCUAACUCCGUG
rnacentral:rRNA from 1 species